CGCGCGUAUGCGCAUGCGCGACAAUCGCACGGAUCGGAUAAACGUUCCCGCACAAAGCAGGUGUCUUCCGUAUGCUUAACGUGAUCUUAUUUACGCAGAGUGGACCACGAACGAGUAAUUUCGUCGGGAAUCAAGCCGCUCUUAUCGGGUAAAGAACACUGUGUCAUGUAAUAAACAGUGCGCGGAGUUUUUCUCGCAGUAGAGCGUGAAUCGCGCAACAAGAGAGAAGCGUUGCUGCGGACGAAUUUCGAAGCUUAACGAAAUUUCCGGUGCAACUUCGGUAUUGCGCCGAGAAGUUCACGGACGCAAGAAGAUUGAUCGGAAAUACAAAAUAAGUCGCAUGUUUCUAGAUCCUGCGAAGAUUGCAAAUCCGCGGCACCGAAAAAUCCAGUUCGGGCCAAGCAGGAUCGGCUCGAAGAUCCUGCGAAGAUUGCAAAUUCGCGGCACCGAAAACUCCAGUUCAGGAUCGGCUCAAAAACGUAAAUCAAAGGUAAAU